UGGACAAAUUAUUGUAUUCGGCUGUAUUCACGGCAUGAAACAGGGGAAUACAUUGUUUUUAAACGGAAAGUGAAUCAAUUAACAUAAUAGACUCCU
rnacentral:pre_miRNA from 1 species